rnacentral:lncRNA from 10 species
CUGAGGUCAAGGGAAGAUGUGGACACCUAGGUGACCAGGUCAUGAUUAAAAGGAUCAAUUGGGGCACUUAUGCAAUAUGACGUUUCCUUGAAGGGACCUGAAUGGAGCAACCAAGUUAAUUCUUGUAUCAGUAUCUCAACUCAUGAAACAUUCGGUCCUAAGAUAUCAAGUGCAAUCUGAUUCCAGCCUGUGCAUUUUGACAACCUUUGACUGCUCUGCCAAUCGCCAGGUGCCCCUCUCCAGCCCAGUCAGUCGUUUCUGGCUCCAUUCAUAACUCUGCCGGAUGCCUCAUUAGAGAAGUGUCCUGAGACUUCUUGUGAGAUAUGCCUUCCUGAGACCUACCCAAUGUGCCCAUGCUGACUCCUACCAGACAGCUGAGAGACCAACUCAGAGAAGAAUAGCAAAGAAAGCAGAAAAUGGGAGGCUUUAUCCCAGUGCCCAAUCCCUGCUAGCUGAGCCAGUUGAGAGUCACAAACCAGGGAAAUCCAGAGAUUUUAGUUUCAUCUAUGGCCACUGGGGGUGAGCAGUAAGAAACUGAGGACUGUAAGAUGGAAGGCAACAUGACAGUGGUACAAAGGAGCUGUUUGUUGUGUUUUUGUUGAUGGUAGACCACUUAUAGCUAUUUCUCUUUAAUUAAAAAAAACUGUUUUAUGCAGCAAAGAAAAACAAAAUUGAGUAUAUAUUUAUGUUGCACCAUUUUUAAGGAGAAUCCAGGUAAGAUUCUAAAAUAAAAUAAAAUAAAAUAAAAUGUAUUAAGAGAGAAGAUGGGCAAGGGUGGAGAAGAGAAAGAGAGACAGAGAGAGAGGGAGAGAAAGAAACUUUUCACCAAGUAUUCUAAAGUACUGGUAGCCAAAAUGAAGGCUCAUUUCUGUUCUACAAAGAGAAAUAACCUAUAAGUGCAAGUGUUUGAAAUGUUAGCUCCAGGAGAAUUAGUGUGACGGGAAGUAACACUUCCUGUAAAACCAGUCUCCUUACAGACGCAUCACCAUCUUCUUCCAGGCAAUUGUGUUUAGAAGUCAGGCAAAGGCAAGCUCUCAGAGGCAGAAUUCCAUUUUGGACUGCAGGCAUGUAAUCCAUAACUUCACCAAGCAGUCAGUAAACAAAUUCAUGAGGAUAUCUUUCUCUCAUGUUUUUUUUUUCCUUCCAGACCUUGCAUUUUAUUAUCUCACAUGAUGAAUUCCUGCUUUCAUGUAUAUAAAGACAACAUUACAAGUUUUACCUGUAUUUUGAAUACUACAGUUCAGCUUCUUCUAAUUUAAGUCAGUCUCCUGGUCAGCUACCAGACUCAAUCCAUCCCCCUUCAAAUUCUGUUUUAUGUUUCAAAUCCCCCAAUCUUUGACCCUUACUCCAAGAAGGAUUAGAAUAAGUAUCACACAUGAAAUAGAGGCAAUAAAAAUGAACAUUCCACUUUGAUCUUUCCAUUUGAAUAUUUUGUGGUGCAAACAGAGAAGAGUAAAGGAGGAAGCAGGUCUUCUUCAAAGCAGCGUUCUAAA